rnacentral:rRNA from 1 species
UGGGGAAUAUUGGGCAAUGGGCGCAAGCCUGACCCAGCAACGCCGCGUGAAGGAAGAAGGCUUUCGGGUUGUAAACUUCUUUUCUCGGGGACGAACAAAUGACGGUACCCGAGGAAUAAGCCACGGCUAACUACGUGCCAGCAGCCGCGGUAAUACGUAGGUGGCAAGCGUUAUCCGGAUUUAUUGGGUGUAAAGGGCGUGUAGGCGGGAAAGCAAGUCAGAUGUGAAAACUCAGGGCUCAACCCUGAGCCUGCAUUUGAAACUGUUUUUCUUGAGUGCUGGAGAGGCAAUCGGAAUUCCGUGUGUAGCGGUGAAAUGCGUAGAUAUACGGAGGAACACCAGUGGCGAAGGCGGAUUGCUGGACAGUAACUGACGCUGAGGCGCGAAAGCGUGGGGAGCAAACAGGAUUAGAUACC